UUGUAAGAGACUCGUUUUAUUGAUGAACCAAUUAAAGUGAAACAAUUUGACAUAUCUUGCAAACUCUUUUUCAUAUUACUCUUUUUUUUGUUUGAUUAUUCUGCAGAAAUGAAUAUUAAAUGGCAUAAACAUAAAUUGUCUCAUAUGAUGCCACGCAUAUCGAACUCUCUCAUCCGUCGUAAAUAAGUAAACACCUUUCAAGCAACAAAUCCGUCCCGUCGAUGAUCAAUAAGAAGCUUUCGAUGAAGUCGUUAAAACAAAUCAACUUACAACUGUUCUCCACUGCAACUAUUCCCAUGCAUUUGAGCAAUUAAUUUUCUACACACAACACAGCUUUGACAGCAUCGAUACGUAGCAGCUUCGAGUUCCGUGGAAAAGCUCCACAGUAUGGCUUCACAAUUUUCACAACUCUCCUAACAAGCGCAAUCUUUCACAGAAGAAAGUGCGCCCGAUACCUCACAGUUCUUUCCCUCCCGUUCCCUAAUCCCAAAAAACCAAUCCCGAAGAAACCGCCAACGCUAGUGGGUAGAAGCUGAUGCAAUUUUCUUACCCAAUCUCCAACGCUACAUAUCGCCGGUCGGUAGUAGUUCGUUCCCGGUUGUCGGAAGUUUCUAAUUAAAACUUCACAUUCCGCUACCACGCGGUGGAAAAACUUGCCAAAGGGGUGGCAUUUUUUUUUUUGUUGCUUUGGUGCAAACUCUCAAACCGCUGCCGGAGUUUUAUACUUCCCGAAGAGAAAGUUACAACAACUACUAGUACCACUACUAUCACGGUUGUUGUUUUUACCCACUUCUGGCGAGAUUGUCGACGAUCAGUUACGAGUUGCAUGCUGUACCUUGCACCGGAGUGCAACGAAGCGUUUUGCUUAGUUUUGUACGGUGGCUUACCUGUUUCUCAUCACACAUCCCGCAAUGUGCACUAAACAUCUGCCAAAGAAGCAGUAACCUUUAAUGGUUUAUUUCAUCCCAUAUCCCGUAUGCGAUUCUUUAUCCAUUGCCUACCCUCGGGGAGAAAAGUACUUUAGCGUAACCGUCCUAAAUUGAAUAUAUCAUGUGCAAACGAACUAAUGCAACAUGUGCAUGGCAUGUUUCGCUACUGGGACUGGGCCACUGCAUCAACGGCUACAAAUUUUCCACUUUCCAAACACAAAUCGCACACUGGAAAAGGAAAAGAAUAAUGAGAAAUAUUGAAGAAACUCCUAAAGAACCAUUAUGGCCGCGGCCCGGAAAGCGUGACGUAAAACAUCCUAACAUGGCCAUAAUUAAAACUCAAUUCCGGCAGCAAAAGUUUCACUACCAAUGAUCGACGAAGACUACCUCUGGACCGGUUUUGCCAGACGGCACGCGAUAGAUAGCUGUCUUUUCCUUCUUCACAACUGUUUCUUCGAGCGCGCAGGUGGGAAAAUCUUUUAAUUGAACCUUCCUCCUGCCCGUUAUCAUCGUUCCAUUGUUGCCAGAAGUGCAGCUUGCAGCAGCGAAGAGUACUUAGUACCGGCAGAUUAUUUGUCGAUUAAUGGAUCGAGCUGCCGAUGAUGAUGACGACGUGCCAAGCGAAAGGAACGUACGAAAGCGUUCGCUCCUUUCUCCUCGGGCUUUACGUAAGUGGAUCCAAUUUUUUUUUUAUUUAUGAAACUUUUCGCCCCAUUCCUUGAAAAUUGUGGUGCAAGGUAAAGUGACGCAAAAAUGAAUGCAGUUUCUGCUACAAGCUCGAAAAAGCCAUCCCUUCGAUAGGUUUCCCUGGAAUGGAUCGGGCACAUCUCGCGCACCUUGAAAAGCUCCCAGUUUCCGUGUGCUUGUUUCUUCACUCUUGUUCGAAAUCGAAAUCAAAUCGGAAAAUCGAACACCUUCGAUGAAAUGUUGUGAUUAAGAGUCCUUAUGAAAGCACGAUCGGGUUCUAGGCAGAGCGCCUUGUUGAGUCAAGCGCAUUAAAUACAUGGCACGAUUCUGUUGCUUCUCCACCAUCUCACCCACUUCCGUUUCGCUAAAUGAAGAAAGGAAAACUUUUCGCACCAGGUAAUACAGGGGAAAAAAACACUCCCGUAAUGAAGGAGACGACCUGAAAUUCUCACAGAAAGCAGCAAGAAAAACCGCCUUAAUGUAGGCAACCGAGCAACAAACAGUGCUGCAUUGUUAAGUGAAGAAGGAAAUCCUUCAGCUGCUGCAACGCGUUCGCACAACCCGGUAAGUCGAUCUUUGGCUGUUCGUGUGCACGACACGAAAUGCUGUAUGUGCCACCCGGGGUUGGCUAGUGUGCACAAAUGUGUGCAAUCAAAUCGCAAUUCAAUCCCUUUUUCCGCUUUCGCCUUCAAGGUGCCACCGAAUGUGACAAAACAAUAAACAGGACAUUUAAUUUCGAGCAUGCCAGUGUGGCGUACGGCAGUUUCGCAGAGAGUUUUCUGCUCGAUGCACUAAAAGCAUUCAUAGCAAAGAGGUUGCUAUGUUACCAUGGAGAUGUAUCGUUGCGCAUACUGCACAUGGGAAGAAAAUCGAUGUGUGAAAUUUUCUUCCAAGCAUGUUCUUGGCAUUUCUAGGCUUAAAUCGUCCAGAGAAGCCGAUAAUGGCACACGCGUGCAACGUUCGUUUUUCUUAUGUCGGUUUCACACACCAGAGGAAAGAUCACGCUAGUGUUCGUACUAAUCCCGGUGCAAGUACAAUUGUUUGUACAACACUGUUGCUAAACUGCUAUUUUUCAUCAUUGUUGUUUUUUUUUGCCAACUCAGAUGCUGCUGUCCGUGACAAAGCUUACCUUUUGCCUGAGGAGUUCGGGCUCCCUCCGCAAGAGGCAAGACACGGGUAGAGAUGGUGUUUGAAAGUUGAAAUAAAUUGGAUUCUCACUUCAAAUGACCGAGCUGCAAUGUAGGGGAAAAAAGUUUUCGGACAGCACGGAUGUGAAGCGCUGGUGUGUGAUAGUUUAAUUAAGAUGAAUCGAAAAGAAACGAAAAUACCUAAAAACACCAACAAAAGGGACAACAUCGAAUCGAUAACUUUUUAAACAAAUCAUGCAAUGAAGAAAGGAAAGAAAAAAACAUAAACUCAUAUUAAUGUGCCGAAGGGAAUUGUUGUGUUGAUUUAUGUCCUGUUCCAGUUGCAGUAGACGAUUGGCAACACUGACGCUUGUAAUUAUGAAGGCAAGGAUACCCAUCAAUCAAGGAACUGCCAUUUGUCUUCAGGAACAUUGUACAACUAGCCGGCAGCUAGUUUAAGAUGUACAGCAUUUACUUCACUGUGCUCAUCGUUGUCAUUUGUUUUUGCAUGGGGAUCCAGUAGCCAUUAGUAGAGCAGCAAAAGUGGCAUUUUGUGAGACUGAGCAAGU